rnacentral:rRNA from 1 species
AUUGAACGCUGGCGGCAUGCCUUACACAUGCAAGUCGAACGGCAGCACGGACUUCAGUCUGGUGGCGAGUGGCGAACGGGUGAGUAAUAUAUCGGAACAUACCUUGUAGUGGGGGAUAACUAUCCGAAAGGAUAGCUAAUACCGCAUACGCUCUAAGGAGGAAAGCGGGGGAUCGUAAGACCUCGUGCUAUAAGAGUGGCCGAUAUCUGAUUAGCUAGUUGGUGAGGUAAAGGCCUACCAAGCCGACGAUCUGUAGCUGGUCUGAGAGGACGACCAGCCACACUGGGACUGAGACACGGCCCAGACUCCUACGGGAGGCAGCAGUGGGGAAUUUUGGACAAUGGGCGCAAGCCUGAUCCAGCCAUGCCGCGUGCGGGAAGAAGGCCUUCGGGUUGUAAACCGCUUUUGUCAGGGAAGAAACGCGCUGGGUUAAUACCUCGGCGUAAUGACGGUACCUGAAGAAUAAGCACCGGCUAACUACGUGCCAGCCGCCGCCGUAAUAC